rnacentral:tRNA from 1 species
GGAUGAGUAGCUCAACUGGAUAGAGCAACAACCUUCUAAGUUGUAGGUUGAAGGUUCGAGUCCUUCCUCGUUCACAA